rnacentral:lncRNA from 1 species
GCUCCUGUGUCACCGCCUUGGCACCUCUUGUCAACUCCUUGCACGCCUGUGUCACCUCCUCUGUGUCACCUCCUCCUGUGUCACCUCCUCCUGUGUCACCUGCUGUGUCACCUCCGUGUCACCNCUGUGUCACCUGUGUGUCACCUUCAUGUGUCAGCUCCUGUGUUACCUCCGUGUCGCUUCAGUGUCACUUUUGUGUCCCCUCCUGGCACCUGCCACCUCCAUAUGUCACCUCCUGUGUCACCUCCUGUGUCACCUUCAUGUGCCACUUUCUGUGUCACCUCCUCUGUGUCACCUCCUCCGUGUCACCUCCUGUCAACUCCUUGCACCUCUGUGGUACCUCCUCUGUGUCACCUCCUGUGGCACCUCCUGUCACCUCCUCUGUGUCACCUCCUCCAUGUCACCUCCGUGUCACCUGUGUGUCACCUUCAUGUGUCAGCUCCUGUGUCAUCUCCUGUGUUACCUCAGUGUCACCUCAGUGUCACUUUUGUGUCCCCUCCUGGCACCUGUCACCUCCUGUGCCACUUUCUGUGUCACCUCCUGUGUCACCUCCUGUGUCACCUCCUGGCACCUUUGUGUCACCUCCUCUGUCACCUCGUGGCACCUCUGUGUCACCUCCAUGUGUCGCCUCCAUGUGUCACCUCCAUGU